AUUGAACGCUAGCGGCAGGCUUUACACAUGCAAGUCGAACGAGUGGCGGACGGGUGAGUAAUAUCUCUGAACGUGCCCUGUAGCGGGGGAUAACUACUCGACAGAGUGGCUAAUACCGCAUACUCUUGGAGCUGCCAAUUUCGGAUUAGCUGGUUGGGGGGGUAAAGGCUCACCACGGCAACGAUCCGUAGCUGGUUUGAGAGGCCGACCAGCGACAUUGGGACUGAGACGCGGCCGAGACUCCUACGGGAGGCAGCAGUGGGGAAUUUUGGACAAUGGGGUCAACCCUGAUCCAGCCAUCCCGCGUGUAUGAGAAGGCCUUCGGGUUGUAAAGUCCUUUGGGCAGAGAAGCGGUAUCUGCAGAAUAAGCACCGGCUAACUACGUGCCAGCAGCCGCGGUAAUUC
rnacentral:rRNA from 1 species